AUUGAACGCUGGCGGCAGGCCUAACACAUGCAAGUCGAGCGAGCGGCGGACGGGUGAGUAAUGUAUGGGGACUGCCCGAUAGCGGGGGAUAACUACUGGAAACGGUAGCUCAUACCGCAUACUAUUGGAUAACCCAUAUGGGAUUAGCUAGUUGGUGAGGUAAUGGCUCACCAAGGCGACGAUCCCUAGCUGGUCUGAGAGGAUGAUCAGCCACACUGGGACGGAGAAACGGCCAAGCCUCCGACGGAGGCAGCGGAGGGGAAUAUUGGAAAAUGGGGGCAACCCUGAUGCAGCCAUGCCGCGGGUAUGAAGAAGGCCUUAGGGUUUUAAAGUACGUUCAGUCGGGAGGCGUUACCGACAGAAGAAGCACCGGCUAACUCCGUGCCAGCAGCCGCGGUAAUUC
rnacentral:rRNA from 1 species